rnacentral:rRNA from 1 species
GACGAACGCUGGCGGCGUGCUUAACACAUGCAAGUCGAGCGGAAAGGCCCUUCGGGGUACUCGAGCGGCGAACGGGUGAGUAACACGUGAGUAACCUGCCCCAGACUUUUGGAUAACCCUCGGAAACGGGGGCUAAUACCGGAUACGACACAGCUUCGCAUGGGGUCUGUGUGGAAAGUUUUUCGGUUUGGGAUGGGCUCGCGGCCUAUCAGCUUGUUGGUGGGGUGAUGGCCUACCAAGGCGACGACGGGUAGCCGGCCUGAGAGGGCGACCGGCCACACUGGGACUGAGACACGGCCCAGACUCCUACGGGAGGCAGCAGUGGGGAAUAUUGCACAAUGGGCGGAAGCCUGAUGCAGCGACGCCGCGUGAGGGAUGACGGCCUUCGGGUUGUAAACCUCUUUCAGCAGGGACGAAGCGUAAGUGACGGUACCUGCAGAAGAAGCGCCGGCAAACUACGUG